GAUUCUGGCUCAGGAUAAACGUGGCGGCGUGCUUAACACAUGCAAGUCGAACGGAGUGGUUCUCCCGAGGAUUGAUGGUGCUUGCACCUGAUUGACUCAUUGAAUCACUUAGUGGCGGACGGGUGAGUAACGCGUGGGUAACCUGCCUCACACAGGGGGAUAACAGUUGGAAACGACUGUUAAUACCGCAUAAGCGCACAUGACCGCAUGGUCGAGUGUGAAAAACUCCGGUGGUGUGAGAUGGACCCGCGUCUGAUUAGCUAGUUGGUGAGGUAACGGCCCACCAAGGCGACGAUCAGUAGCCGGCCUGAGAGGGUGUACGGCCACAUUGGGACUGAGACACGGCCCAAACUCCUACGGGAGGCAGCAGUGGGGAAUAUUGGACAAUGGGGGAAACCCUGAUCCAAGCGACGCCGCGUGAACGAAGAAGUAUCUCGGUAUGUAAAGUUCUAUCAGCAGGGAAGAUAAUGACGGUACCUGACUAAGAAGCACCGGCUAAAUACGUGCCAGCCGCCGC
rnacentral:rRNA from 1 species